rnacentral:rRNA from 1 species
GUGGGGAAUAUUGGGCAAUGGGCGCAAGCCUGACCCAGCAACGCCGCGUGAGGGAAGAAGGCUUUCGGGUUGUAAACCUCUGUCCUUGGUGACGAAACAAAUGACGGUAGCCAAGGAGGAAGCCCCGGCUAACUACGUGCCAGCAGCCGCGGUAAUACGUAGGGGGCGAGCGUUGUCCGGAAUUACUGGGCGUAAAGGGUGCGUAGGUGGCCUUUUAAGUUGGAUGUGAAAUACCCGGGCUUAACUUGGGGGGUGCAUCCAAAACUGGGAGGCUAGAGUGCAGGAGAGGAAAGCGGAAUUCCUAGUGUAGCGGUGAAAUGCGUAGAUAUUAGGAGGAACACCAGUGGCGAAGGCGGCUUACUGGACUGUAACUGACGUUGAGGCUCGAAAGCGUGGGGAGCAAACAGGAUUAGAUACCCUAGUAGUCC